UACAGAGGGGGCAAGCAUUAUUCGGAAUUAUUGGGCGUAAAGGGCGCGUAGGCGGCUUUGCAAGUGACGGGUGAAAUCCCUCGGCUUAACCGAGGAACUGCCUGUCAAACUGCAUGGCUUGAGACCGGGAGAGGUGAGUGGAAUUCCCAGUGUAGCGGUGAAAUGCGUAGAUAUUGGGAGGAACACCAGUGGCGAAGGCGGCUCACUGGACCGGUACUGACGCUGAUGCGCGAAAGCGUGGGGAGCAAACAGG
rnacentral:rRNA from 1 species